rnacentral:rRNA from 1 species
ACCAGACUCCUACGGGAGGCAGCAGUGGGGAAUAUUGCACAAUGGGGGAAACCCUGAUGCAGCGACGCCGCGUGAGUGAAGAAGUAUUUCGGUAUGUAAAGCUCUAUCAGCAGGGAAGAUAAUGACGGUACCUGACUAAGAAGCCCCGGCUAACUACGUGCCAGCAGCCGCGGUAAUACGUAGGGGGCAAGCGUUAUCCGGAUUUACUGGGUGUAAAGGGUGCGCAGGUGGCAGGGCAAGUCAGAUGUGAAAGCCCGGGGCUCAACCCCGGUAUUGCAUUUGAAACUGUCCGGCUAGAGUGCAGGAGAGGUAAGCGGAAUUCCUAGUGUAGCGGUGAAAUGCGUAGAUAUUAGGAGGAGCACCAGUGGCGAAGGCGGCUUACUGGACUGUAACUGACACUGAGGCACGAAAGCGUGGGGAGCAAACAGGAUUAGAUACCCCUGUAUUC